GAACGGGUGAGUAACACGUGGGUGAUCUGCCCUGCACUCUGGGAUAAGCCUGGGAAACUGGGUCUAAUACCGGAUAGGACCACACACUUCAUGGUGAGUGGUGCAAAGCUUUUGCGGUGUGGGAUGAGCCCGCGGCCUAUCAGCUUGUUGGUGGGGUAAUGGCCCACCAAGGCGACGACGGGUAGCCGGCCUGAGAGGGUGACCGGCCACACUGGGACUGAGAUACGGCCCAGACUCCUACGGGAGGCAGCAGUGGGGAAUAUUGCACAAUGGGCGCAAGCCUGAUGCAGCGACGCCGCGUGAGGGAUGACGGCCUUCGGGUUGUAAACCUCUUUCAGUAGGGACGAAGCGAAAGUGACGGUACCUACAGAAGAAGGACCGGCCAACUACGUGCCAGCAGCCGCGGUAAUACGUAGGGUCCGAGCGUUGUCCGGAAUUACUGGGCGUAAAGAGCUCGUAGGUGGUUUGUCGCGUUGUUCGUGAAAACUCACAGCUUAACUGUGGGCGUGCGGGCGAUACGGGCAGACUAGAGUACUGCAGGGGAGACUGGAAUUCCUGGUGUAGCGGUGGAAUGCGCAGAUAUCAGGAGGAACACCGGUGGCGAAGGCGGGUCUCUGGGCAGUAACUGACGCUGAGGAGCGAAAGCGUGGGUAGCGAACAGGAUUAGAUACCCUGGUAGUCCACGCCGUANACGGUGGGUACUAGGUGUGGGUUUCCUUCCUUGGGAUCCGUGCCGUAGCUAACGCAUUAAGUACCCCGCCUGGGGAGUACGGUCGCAAGACUAANACUCAAAGGAAUUGANNNGGG
rnacentral:rRNA from 1 species